rnacentral:rRNA from 1 species
UGAUGACGAGACGCUAAGGCGUUGAAGCAGUGUAUGUCAGACUUCCAAGAAAAGCUCGCAAUGUCACAAACAAAGAAUGCCUGUACCAUAACCGACACAGGUGGGUAGGUAGAGUAUACUAAGGGGCGCGAGAUAACUCUCUCUAAGGAACUCGGCAAAAUGACUCCGUAACUUCGGGAGAAGGAGUGCCUUAUUUAUAAGGUUGCAAUAACAAGAUCCAAGCAACUGUUUAUCAAAAACACAGGUCUCCGCUAAGUCGUAAGACGAUGUAUGGGGGCUGACGCCUGCCCAGUGCCAGAAGGUUAAAGAAGUUGGUUAGUGUAUGCGAAGCUGAUGACUGAAGCCCUGGUGAACGGCGGCCGUAACAAUAACGGUCCUAAGGUAGCGAAAUUCCUUGUCGGGUAAGUUCCGACCCGCACGAAAGGCGUAAUGAUUUGGAUACUGUCUCGGAGAGAGGCUCGGUGAAAUAGACUUGUCUGUGAAGAUGCGGACUACCUGCACCAGGACAGAAAGACCCUAUGAAGCUUUACUGUAACUUGAAAUUGGAAUUGGACUUUGCUUGCGCAGUAUAGGUGGGAAGCGUUGAAAAUAUUCUUGCGGGAGUAUUGGAGCUAUCAGUGAGAUACCACUCUUGUAAUGUUAGAUUUCUAACUUUGAACCAUAAUCUGGUCAAAGAACAGUUUCAGGUGGGCAGUUUGACUGGGGCGGUCGCCUCCCAAAUGGUAACGGAGGCGUACAAAGGUUUCCUCUGAACGGAUAGAAAUCGUAUCUAGAGUGUAAAGGCAUAAGGAAGCUUGACUGUGAGACCUACAAGUCGAGCAGGGACGAAAGUCGGUCUUAGUGAUCUGACGGUACUGAGUGGAAAGGCCGUCACUCAACGGAUAAAAGUUACUCUAAGGAUAACAGGCUGAUCUCCCCCAAGAGUUCACAUCGACGGGGAGGUUUGGCACCUCGAUGUCGGCUCAUCGCAUCCUGGGGCGGUAGUACGUCCCAAGGGUUGGGCUGUUCGCCCAUGAAAGCGGUACGCGAGCUGGGUUCAGAACGUCGUGAGACAGUUCGGUCCAUAUCCGGUGUAGGCGCUAGAAUAUUGAGAGGAGCCUUCUUUAGUACGAGAGGACCGAGAAGGACACACCGCUGGUGUACCAGUUAUCGUGCCAACGGUAAACGCUGGGUAGCCAUGUGUGGAGUGGAUAACCGCUGAAAGCAUCUAAGUGGGAAGCCCACCUCGAGAUGAGUAUUCAC